rnacentral:rRNA from 1 species
AGCGAACGCUAGCGGCGGGCCUAACACAUGCAAGUCGAGCGGAGGGGCAACCCUCAGCGGCGAACGGGUGAGUAACACGUAGGUAAUGUGCCCUCUGGUGGGGAAUAACCGUGGGAAACCAUGGCUAAUACCGCAUAUGUCUUUCGAGAUGAAAGCAGCAAUGCGCCAGAGGAGCAGCCUGCGGCCGAUUAUUUAGUCCUAGUUGGUGAGGUAAUGGCUCACCAAGGGUACGAUCGGUAGCUGGUCUGAGAGGAUGAUCAGCCACACUGGAACUGAGACACGGUCCAGACUCCUACGGGAGGCAGCAGUGGGGAAUAUUGCGCAAUGGGCGAAAGCCUGACGCAGCCACGCCGCGUGAGUGAUGAAGGCCUCGGUUGUAAG